CCGCACAAGCGGUGGAGCAUGUGGUUUAAUUCGAUGCAACGCGAAGAACCUUACCUACUCUUGACAUCCAGGGAAUUUGGCAGAGAUGCCUUAGUGCCUUCGGGAACUGUGAGACAGGUGCUGCAUGGCUGUCGUCAGCUCGUGUUGUGAAAUGUUGGGUUAAGUCCCGCAACGAGCGCAACCCUUAUCCUUUGUUGCCAGCGAUUCGGUCGGGAACUCAAAGGAGACUGCCGGUGAUAAACCGGAGGAAGGUGGGGAUGACGUCAAGUCAUCAUGGCCCUUACGAGUAGGGCUACACACGUGCUACAAUGGCGCAUACAAAGAGAAGCGACCUCGCGAGAGCAAGCGGACCUCAUAAAGUGCGUCGUAGUCCGGAUCGGAGUCUGCAACUCGACUCCGUGAAGUCGGAAUCGCUAGUAAUCGUGGAUCAGAAUGCCACGGUGAAUACGUUCCCGGGCCUUGUACACACCGCCCGUCACAC
rnacentral:rRNA from 1 species